rnacentral:rRNA from 1 species
GAUGAACGCUGGCGGCGUGCCUAAUACAUGCAAGUCGAACGCUGGAAAUCUAGCUUGCUAGAUUGAAGGAGUGGCGAACGGGUGAGUGAUACAUAAGCAACCUACCCACGAAGACUGGGAUAAUCUCUGGAAACGGGGACUAAUACCGGAUAGGUAAUCGGAAGGCAUCUUCUGAUUAUUAAAGGUUAAAAACACUGGUGGAUGGGCUUAUGGCGCAUUAGUUAGUUGGUGAGGUAACGGCCCACCAAGACGAUGAUGCGUAGCCGGCCUGAGAGGGUGAACGGCCACAUUGGGACUGAGACACGGCCCAGACUCCUACGGGAGGCAGCAGUAGGGAAUUUUCGGCAAUGGGGGAAACCCUGACCGAGCAACGCCGCGUGAGUGAUGACGGCCUUCGGGUUGUAAAGCUCUGUUGUAAGAGAAGAACGGUAGAUAGAGAAUAUCUAAAUGACGGUACCUUACCAGAAAGCCACGGCUAACUACGUG